rnacentral:rRNA from 1 species
GUGCGAAAUAUUACUGUAAACGGCCGCCCUAGCGUGAGGGUGCUAAGGUAGCGAAAUUCCUUGCCUUUUGAUUGUAGGCCUGCAUGAAUGGUUUAACGAGGGUUUAACUGUCUCUUGAUUUAAAAUUGAAAUUGUACUGAAGGUGAAGAUACCUUCAUUAAAAAGUCAGACAAAAAGACCCCGUGCAACUUUGAAAAUUAGCUUUAUUCAGAAGUGAAAGAUUUUUAGGUGGGGCGCCUAGAAAGUAAAUCUAACCUUUCUGAACAUUUAGUUCUUUCCGGACUUGACCCGAUUAUAUUCGAUCAUAGGAGAAGUUACGCCGGGGAUAACAGGCUAAUCCUUUAGUAGAGCUCGUAUUGGCUAAAGGGAUUGGCACCUCGAUGUUGAAUCAGGGAUGAUAGCUUCAAGGCGUAGAGGCUUUGAGAGUAGGUCUGUUCGACCUUUAAUACCCU